rnacentral:rRNA from 1 species
UAUCUCUGUAGAGUCUGCAUAUCAAUAAGCGGAGGAAAAGAAACUAACAAGGAUUCCCCUAGUAACGGCGAGUGAAGCGGGAAGAGCUCAAAUUUGAAAUCUUCAAGGUUUGACCUUGACGAAUUGUAGUUUAAAGAAGUGUUUUCGGUUAGAGGAGUAGUAAAAGUUCUUUGGAAUAGGACAUCAUAGAGGGUGAGAAUCCCGUAUUUGACCAUUCUUUCUAGCUUUGUGAUACACUUUCAAAGAGUCGGAUUGUUUGGGAAUGCAGUCCAAAAUGGGUGGUAAAUUUCAUCUAAAACUAAAUAUUGGCGAGAGACCGAUAGCGAACAAGUACCGUGAGGGAAAGAUGAAAAGAACUUUGAAAAGAGAGUUAAACAGUACGUGAAAUUGUCAAAAGGGAAGCGUUUGACACCAGUGUUGUUUUUUCCGAAAAUCAAUUAAAAAUGGAUUCAUGCUAAGUUGUAUUGACCUUAUCAGCUUGCAAUUUAGUUUUGGGUUUCUUUUUGAUGCACUUUUCGGUUAACAAGUCAACAUCAAUUUCCUUUGCUGUAAAAAGGCAGGAGGAAGGUGGCUUCAAUUUCGGUUGAAGUGUUUAUAGCCUUCUGUCUCUGCAGUCGGGGAGAUUGAGGUCUGCAGCGUAGAUCCUUCGGGGCUAGAUACAUUCGUGCUAAGUUAUAGCCUUUUAUAGACAACUUGUUGACUAUGAUUGGUCUUGUAAUUUACUCGCGAGUGCUAUUUUACCUACGCUUAGGAUGUUGAUCUACAGAGCGAGAGU